GCCUGAUGAUAACUUAUACAUAGCAUUUCACUAUCUACAGGUAGAAAUGAAUAAUAGCAAUAGUAAUUCGGAAUGAUUCUAAAUAGAUGAGUUGAUGGAGGUCGGAAGAAAUUAAAUAUCAAGCACGGAAAGAAAGGCAGAUUGAAUUACGUGAACAUAUAUAAAAGCUAGACGUAAACAUUGAAAGACAAUACAAUAAGGAAACAAUUACGGCUCUAUCAUGGUAAUCAGAGUUAACAGAGGACUGGUGUUCGUUUUUUGUUUUCUGAAGGUCUUCAUGGAACCCGGUAUGGUAUUUAUGUCGUUUGGAGUUUUCUUCGUUGAGCUUCUGGACAAAUUCCAGAAAGAUCGCGCAACACUGCAACUGUGCAGUCACUUCUUGUUGGAGUUACUUUAAGCUUUGGUAAGUACUGGAUCUUACAUGAGUGUCUUUUCAUAUUGAAUCAAUCAAACAAGUUGAAUAGAAAAACAAAUUACGAGGGAGGACCUUUCUUCGGAAAGACACAGAUGUAAGAGUUUUUCAUCACAAAUUUGCCUUUCUGCCGAAAGAUCGAAAUGUCCUCUUUCUUAACAAAUUACAUUAAAUCCAACCAAAACCUUUCAUACUUGAAAUGACAUCAACGUCAAAUGUUAUAACAUUAGUGAUAUACCAAAGAUAUGAGAUGGAUUGAUUUCACUCCAACGGCGGCAAUCAUCAGUGAUUAAAAGUAUUAAAUGUCAUGUUAUAAAAUGAUUAGAUAUAUAUAUGUAUUUUGCCAAUUAAUAUGUUUAAAUUGUACUUAUUGCCGAAUUAUUGUCCGCAACUUCAUCUUAUUGACGUUUUAAUGUUUAGUAACUUUGCGUUGCCACCAAGCAUUGUUCAUGUUGAAAUGGAAAAGU